rnacentral:rRNA from 1 species
UGGGGAAUAUUGGACAAUGGGGGCAACCCUGAUCCAGCAAUGCCGCGUGUGUGAAGAAGGUCUUCGGAUUGUAAAGCACUUUCGACGGGGACGAUGAUGACGGUACCCGUAGAAGAAGCCCCGGCUAACUUCGUGCCAGCAGCCGCGGUAAUACGAAGGGGGCUAGCGUUGCUCGGAAUGACUGGGCGUAAAGGGCGUGUAGGCGGUUUACACAGUCAGAUGUGAAAUCCCCGGGCUUAACCUGGGAGCUGCAUUUGAUACGUGUAGACUAGAGUGUGAGAGAGGGUUGUGGAAUUCCCAGUGUAGAGGUGAAAUUCGUAGAUAUUGGGAAGAACACCGGUGGCGAAGGCGGCAACCUGGC